rnacentral:lncRNA from 1 species
CUUUAUUUGAAAUUUAGCAAGGGAAAAUUGUUUGAAAUUAGUGGAAUUUGGUUUUGGAAUUGAUGGAGCUGCUGAUUGCAGCAUAUUGGUGUUAACAGGGGAUUGAGACAAGCAAUCGGAUGGGUUCUAGGGUUGUAAACAAUUAUUUUUGGGUUAUCUUCCUUUUCCAAAUUCGGGCCCAUCCCUUCCGUGCUUUGUUAUUUGGAACUUUGCAGUCUAGUUGUUGGGCAACCUCUAUAACACAGUCCCGAGCAACUAAAUUUUAGUAACAUUUCUUCCACUAUAAUCCCUUGAAUCAACCCAUUAACCAAGCACUUCCCACCACCACCUACAUCACGCUCCGCAGCAGCAGCAGUAACAGACCUGGAUCGAAGAUCACCAUCUUCUUUCAUUGCGCCUCAUUGCCUCAUUCUCAUCUGCUCCGGGAAAUUUUGCACAGUUGGAGUUAAAAUCUCAGGGUCCCGCGUGUAAUCUUUCUCUAUUUCCUCUGAUUUCUAUGCUGAAAUCUUCUCGAAAAUAUUAGCCUCCGACAAUAGAUUAUUGGAGAAGAUCCUCUCCAAGCGGUACAGCCACCUGUCUGAGUUAUCUUCACUAAAUAUUGGUAACUUAAACUUCCUUAUUAGUCUCCAGAUGUUUCCCUCUUGAUAUUUCCUAGUUUCCCCAGUUUCUUCUGUCAUUUUGCCUCGGUCUCACUACUGCUGAUCUCCCACGGGUCCCUUGUGAACAUUAGGUGGUGACUGAACCUCCAAAACACUUCCAGAUCUAUCUCCCUCCAUAGCUUUAUUCAUGGUUGCUUUUGGAAAAAUAAGAGUUGCCAAAGUUUUCUGUGUAUCUUCCAUGGAUUGCAGCAUCUUUGUCAUGCUCUGUUUGAGGUGUUCCACUGAGAUCUCUAGGCCUGGUAAGCGUUUGAGCUCAAAUUUCAAUUCCUUUAGCGUCUUCCCCAUUACUUCCACUCUGAUUUCUAUCUUCUUUUGGGCCAUAAGAUUGACGUGCUUUGAUACCAUUUUGUUAGGAAUCUAACUGUAAUUAGAAAGUAUUGCUAUAAGAAUCAAGUGCCAGCAGUAUAUUGAUGUAAUUAAAAGAGAAUACAGCAAUGAAAGAAAUAACAAAUAGCCUUUUGAGACGGCUAGAAAUAACAAAGGCUCUAUUGAGAGGGCUACUACUCUCCUAUUCCAUACUUCUACUCAAUAAUUUUUUUGCCUGCCUCAGUCCUUCCUGCUCGCUCGAUAUUUAUAGACCUCUUGUAACUAAUCUGUCCACGUCAGCGUGCCAUGUUAACGGAAUCUUGUUGCUGCCAACUUCUCCUCAACCCUUCCUGGCCCAUCUAGAAUAAGUGUACUUGAUUGGAGGCUUAUCAAAAUAUUUAUGCCACACAGUGUCGCGGGCUUUGCAUGUGUGUCACACUAGUUCCUUUAAAAGAGGCAAUAUCAAAGAACUGUUCAUCUGCGAGUUCCCUCUCCCACUUUACUCCUCCACUGUUCAUUUAUGAGUUCUCCAUCUCACACACAAUCCGAAUAAAUUACUGUUCACAAUCGAGUUUUUCUUUGUUCUAAUAGUGUUCACUAAAUAUCUCAUCACCUAACCUUUGCAAUUACUUUUUCCUUUCCCAAACACUUCUACUCUUGUUUUCCCUUUCAAGAGCACUCCCAAUUUCUAGACGUUGUAUUUGUCAUGAUUUCUUGGUUACCAACCUUAGAUUUGUUACGGUUUCUUCACUUCAAUUGUUGAAUCUGCUUUUAUUUUAUUUUGUUUGUCUGAGCUUUUGAGAAAUCGAAUACAAGAUAGCUUAAGUAUGUUCCUUUGAUGUUCUUGUUGUGUAUUAUUUGUUCAAUUUGUUGCUAUUGUCUAUAUUUUUUUCGUUCUCUCAGCAUUUUUCUAUUGUCAGUUCCAAGUUCCAACUCUUCGAAGUACAAAAUGGAGGGUAGUGGUGCUACUAGUGACGCAUAGGGGACUGUUUUCUGAUGCGUACAAUGGAGGAUGGUGCUUUUAUAGAGUAUGAUUCUUUUUUCUUAUUUAACUUUGUUCACUUCUAUACCGCAUAUAUACUAGGAAAGGCCAGAAAGAUUACUUCCCUCUACAGCGACGUCCAUUCGGCAACGAUCAUAGAUGUAGAGCAGUGCAAAGCUUGCCAUAGCUAAAAUUUACAGGUAAAUAAUGAAUUGUGCACGUAGGUUUCUUGAAUUUUUGCUGCUUGGUUCAUAUGUCUAUAAUCUAAAAUUUAAGAGAGCAAUUGAAAUUUGUAUGGUGCUUUUGCCAUAUAUGAUGUGUAUAUCUUUAAUCCAUAUUUAAGUAUUUCUUACAUUUUGAAUAUUGUUUCAAAAUUCUAAAAAGAGGCUGAAAAUAUGGACGAAGAGAAAAAUGAGAUGAUUAAAAUAAUCUGUUGUUAGUGGAUAAGUAUUUGGCUGCUGGCCCAAAUAGUGAUUUGGAGUACAUUGAGGAUUUUGAGUUCUAGGAAUUUGAUUUUGUUAGGAGUGAGAGGAUGGUAAGAUCAAAGUUUUUAGGUUGGAUGAUAACAAAUGAAAAAUGGGUCGAAGUGACUAAUUUGGGUGAGAUGUUGUUCUUGGAAUUGUACAUGGAGCUUCUGCUUCGGAGAUGUUUGGGUAUAAUGAGUGUAAAGGUAAUUCUAUAUUUUUUUUACAGAUGAGUUCUUUCGUGGCAGGGAAGAUGAUUGGGAAUGGAAGAGUCGCAGUAUCGGAGUGUUUUAUUUAGAGAGUGGGAGUAUUGAGCCAAUUGAUAGUCAUGAUGGUUAUUCCCAUAUGUUUUCGUUGCCACCUGCUUGGGUUUGUUCGAAUUUGUUAUGUUGAGGAAUUUAUAUGUUUUUCCUUUUCGUUUUUUGGGCGAAAUAUGUUUUACAUAUACAUUCCAGUUAGUCAUUCCUGGUCAUAUUUUAUUUCUGGUUGCUGACUAUAAUUUUUC